GCCAGACUCCUACGGGAGGCAGCAGUGAGGAAUAUUGGUCAAUGGACGAGAGUCUGAACCAGCCAAGUAGCGUGAAGGAUGACUGCCCUAUGGGUUGUAAACUUCUUUUAUAAAGGAAUAAAACGAGGCACGUGUGCCUUUUUGCAUGUACUUUAUGAAUAAGGAUCGGCUAACUCCGUGCCAGCAGCCGCGGUAAUACGGAGGAUGCGAGCGUUAUCCGGAUUUAUUGGGUUUAAAGGGUGCGUAGGCGGACGCUUAAGUCAGCGGUAAAAUUGCGGGGCUCAACCUCGUCGAGCCGUUGAAACUGGGUGCCUUGAGUGGGUGAGAAGUACGCGGAAUGCGUGGUGUAGCGGUGAAAUGCAUAGAUAUCACGCAGAACUCCGAUUGCGAAGGCAGCGUACCGGCGCCCAACUGACGCUGAAGCACGAAAGCGUGGGUAUCGAACAGGAUUAGAUACCCGGGUA
rnacentral:rRNA from 1 species